rnacentral:rRNA from 1 species
CCGUGAGGGAAAGAUGAAAAGAACUUUGAAAAUAGAGUUAAAGAGUACCUGAAACUGCUGAAAGGUAACCAAAUCGUUUCCAGUGUCUAUAAUCCGUGGUAUAUUUCAUUGGCGAGUGUAUGCGUGCGUGUGCUGUUGCAGUGGCCUUUUUGGCUGCGCUCGGCGUGUGUGUUGUGUGUGCUUGCUGGUGCCCUGUGCUGUGGUGGGACGUCAAGGUCAGUUCGUAUGCUGCGGGAAAUGGCCACUGAGGAGGUAGGGCUUACGCA